rnacentral:rRNA from 1 species
UACGUAGGGUGCGAGCGUUAAUCGGAAUUACUGGGCGUAAAGCGUGCGCAGGCGGUGAUGUAAGACAGGUGUGAAAUCCCCGGGCUUAACCUGGGAACUGCAUUUGUGACUGCAUCGCUGGAGUGCGGCAGAGGGGGAUGGAAUUCCGCGUGUAGCAGUGAAAUGCGUAGAUAUGCGGAGGAACACCGGUGGCGAAGGCGGCAUCCUGGACCGGCAUUGACGCUGAGGCGCGAAAGCCAGGGGAGCAAACGGG